rnacentral:lncRNA from 1 species
GGUUUACCUGGAGUUUAACAGGAUUGUUGGUAGAAAUUUUAAAGAAGAGUUCUUUGGUGUUCUUGAUGGGUUGUGUCCAAUUUUGAUGGAAAUUUCAAGAGGAAGACAGGUCGGAUAGGAAAGCAAUUAGCUCACCUGCUACAACACAACGUGUGUUUUAUACCACUUUGCAGAGCACAGAGCCAACAGCCAUUAGAUGCCUUGUCCUGAGAGGACUUCCAAUAAUUCUUGGAGAUGAUGCAUCUAUGUUCUUCAAGAGCAGUUCAAGUCUAUGGAGACUCCAUGGACAUCCCAGUGGGAAUCCUCUAUUAUGAGGACAACAGUUCAGCAAGCCUAGCAUUGCCAUAACUCAACCCCUCAAGACUGGGCAUCAACCGAGAGGGCAAGGGAAGCACUCACCAACCUACCUCAAGCAAUGUGCCUCUUGUUUGGCUUAACCUACACACUUCACCUGCAGCACCCAAAGUGCUUGAAAACACGUUUACCUUCAUUCAGCAGGC